GGCGGACGGGUGAGUAAUGUAUAGUUAAUCUGCCCUUUAGAGGGGGAUAACAGUUGGAAACGACUGCUAAUACCCCAUACUCCUUUUAUCUUAAUGGCAAUUGGGAAACGUUUUUUCGCUAAAGGAUGAGACUAUAUGGUAUCAGGUAGUUGGUGGGGUAAGAGCCUACCAAGCCAAUGACGCCUAGCUGGUCUGAGAGGAUGAUCAGCCACACUGGAACUGAGACACGGUCCAG
rnacentral:rRNA from 1 species